UGUUAUGGAUAAGACCAAGGAAAUUACUGCAGUAACUAAUGCAGAAGGAGAGGAAGGACAGAUGUCACGUAAUCCACAGAUCCAGGGACCAAGACGUGGAAUGAGGCAUAUGAUUCCUAACAGAAAGUUCAAUGAGGACUCUGUUAAAUAGGACAAUCAUUAGCAUUGUUAAGGGGGAAUAAUAUUUGGUAGAAUUAUGGCUCUCUCUCUCUCUUUAAGCUUUAUGCUUUUCUGCACUAUCAUUUCAUUCCCUGUACCUUUCUUCAAUUGGUUUUAACCAUUUUUCCAUCAAUAAUAUUUAGAUUAUUAUCAUUUUACUGUCAUUUCAAUAUAACAGUACCUAUUAUCAUAUCAAAUCAUAACAUUUGGUGCUUUCAUUGACCUCCCCACAUGGCUGACAACACACGCAUGAAAACAAUGGAAAAUUUCAUUACUGAGCUCACAAAAACCUUGCAACAAUAUAUGGUUGAGUUAGACAGGCGCCAUAACGAAUACUCUCAACACCGUCACGUAGACCUAGCACGCUUUGAUCGUGUUGAAAAUCAGCUUAUUUCACUGCACUAUACCCAGAAUUCCAACAACAGCAACAACUCAGCUCAAACUAGCUAGGCAAGCCAUCACCCAUUUCAGGUUCGUCACAUUAAACUCGAUUUUCCUCGAUUUGAUGGAUCUGAGGUCAUGAAUUGGAUUUUUCGAGCAGAGCAAUUUUUUGAUUACUAUGAAACACCAGACAAUCAUCGCCUCACCAUUGCAGCAUUGCAUAUGGAGAAACAUGUUGUUCCUUGGUUUCAGAUGAUUUCCAAGAACCAACCUUUUCAAUCCUGGGCCAUGUUUACUAAGGCCUUGGAAAUGGAAUUUGGGCCAUCACCAUAUGAAGCAGCAAGGCCCAACUUGUUCAAGUUGACCCAACAAACCACUAUUGCUGACUAUUAUUCUUCUUUCACUGUGUUAGCCAACAUAUCUGAAGGAUUGAGCCCAGAAGCAACUCUUGACUGCUUUAUCAGUGGAUUGAAACCAGAUCUCAAACGAGAUGUUAUCGCCCGAACCCCCUUAUCUCUUUCUCGAGCUUACGCUCUUGCAAGGCUUUUUGAGGACAAAUACACACCCCCAUCACAACUCAAAUCGACCAACCCAACAUCCACAAAACCUUAUAAUUUUCCCACUUCAAAUACCCUACCCAGAAAUAACCCUCAACCACCAUUACUCCCCACCCCCAAACCACCAAACCUACCCACAAAAGGCCACCCAGUUAAAAACAUCACUAGAGCUGAGAUGAUGCUCAGAAGAGAAAAAGGAUUAUGCUAUUAUUGUGAUGAACGAUUCUCUAUAUCUCAUAAAUGUCCAAAUCGUCAUUAUUUCUUAUUCCAAACUGAAGAAGAAGAAGAACCUGAACCACCACCACAACAAAUCACACCAUCAGCUGACCCUGAAACACCACCUAUUGUUACGGAGGAGCACCACUUGUCACUGAAUGCCUUGAACGGUUCUGCUCGUAAAGGCACCAUGCGGUUCCACAGUCAAAUUCAGGGUAUUGCUAUCACGAUUUUGUUGGACAGCGGAAGUUCUGAAAAUUUUCUUCAACCACGCAUUGCUCAAACUCUACAAUUACCUAUUCAGUCCACUACUCAAUUUCAGGUGACGGUUGGUAAUGGAAACUUGCUGUCUACUAUGGGCUUCAUUGAAGAUUUACCUGUGGCGGUUCAGGGUAAUACUCUUCACAUACCUGUGUAUUUAUUGCCUAUAUCUGGUGCUGAUUUAGUUUUGGGUGUCCCUUGGUUACAGACCUUAGGACCACAUAUAGCUGAUUAUAAUGCUUUAUCAUUGAAGUUUUAUCUCAAAGAUACUUUUGUUACACUGUAUGGUGAGAAAACCAAGAGCCCUAGUCCAGCUCAAUUCCAUCACAUCAAAAGGCUACAUCACACACAGUCUAUUGAUUCAGCUUUUACCCUUCAAUUCAACACCAUUACUACUAAAGAUAGCUCUGUUCCUUCUGACCUAAACCCAGAUAUAGCUGUUAUUUUACACCAAUUUAGGGAUGUGUUCGAGGAACCAAAGUCUCUGCCUCCGGCACGUUUUCAGGACCAUGCUAUUACCCUGAUGAAAGGUAGUAAUCCAAUAAAAGUAAGACCAUAUCGUUAUCCUCAUAGUCAAAAAGCGCAAAUUGAAACUAUGGUCAAUGAGAUGUUGGCACAAGGGAUUAUACAGCCAAGCAUUAGCCCCUUUUCUUCACCAGUGCUACUUGUUAAGAAAAAAGAUGGGUCUUGGAGGUUUUGUACUGAUUACAGGGCAUUGAACUCUAUCACUGUCAAAGAUAGUUUUCCCAUUCCUACAGUGGAUGAACUAUUGGAUGAACUACAUGGUGCUUGCUAUUUUUCUAAGCUUGAUCUUCGAUCUGGAUAUCACCAAAUACUUGUCAAACUUGAAGAUAGACCAAAGACAGCUUUCAGAACUCACCAAGGGCUCUAUGAGUGGCUAGUUAUGCCUUUUGGACUCUCUAAUGCACCUGCCUCCUUUCAAAGUCUCAUGAAUCAAGUGUUUCAAUCACUGCUCAGAAAGUCAGUAUUAGUUUUCUUUGAUGAUAUACUGGUAUAUAGUCCCAAUUGGUCCAUGCAUCUCACUCACUUGGAAGAAGUACUUCAGCUUAUGCGCCAUCAUCAGUUGUACGCAAAAUUAUCUAAAUGUUGCUUUGGCUUCACUAAAGUGGACUAUUUAGGACAUACUAUUUCUCAGGAAGGUGUCCAUAUGGAUAAAGAUAAAGUAAAAGCUGUCCUUGAUUGGCCUUUACCAACGAACCUUAAGCAGCUUAGAGGUUUUUUGGGAUUAUCUGGUUACUAUAGACGAUUCAUUCGCAAUUAUGCGUCAAUAGCUGCAUCUCUGACUGCAUUACUAAAAAAGGAUGCUUUUGAGUGGAGCCAGCCAAUUACUGAUGCCUUCUUAGCUCUCCAACAAGCAAUUACUGCUGCGCCUGUUCUAGCACUACCGGAUUUCUCCAAACCCUUUAUAUUGGAAACUGAUGCCUCUAGGACCGGUAUAAGAGCCAUUCUAAGUCAAGAUAAGCAUCCCAUUGCUUACUUUUCAAAGAAACUUGCUCCUUCUAUGCAACAUAAAUCUGCGUAUGUGAGGGAAUUAUAUGCAGUCACUGAAGCUAUGGCAAAAUUCAGACACUAUAUUCUAGGCCAUAAAUUCAUUAUACGCACUGGACAACAAAGCCUCAAUGCUCUAACAGAUCAGACAAUUCAAACUCCGGAGCAGCAGAAGUGGUUACACAAAUUCCUAGGCUUUGAUUUUACCAUAGAAUAUAAACUAGGAAAAGAUAACGUAGCAGCUGAUGCUUUAUCCAGAUCAUUCUUCAUGGCCAUCUCUAGACCAGUCAAUUCUCUGCUAAGUUCUCUUAACAGUGCCGUCAAUUCUGAUUCCACCUUAUCUGCCAUUAAAACUCAGUGCUUACAGGGAACCUGUGCUGAUCCAUUGUACCAGGUUAGGCAGGAUACACUUUAUUGGAAUAACAAAGUAGUAGUACCUGAAGAUUCUCACAUAAUUCAAUCUAUUCUCCAUGAAUUUCAUUCUUCUCUAUUGGGUGGUCACACUGGCAUUGCCCGUACCAAAGCUAGAAUAGCUUCACAAUUCACAUGGCCCUCUUUAUCUCGUGAUGUGAGGUUUUUUGUAUCAAAAUGUUUAGUAUGCCAACAAGCUAAAUCAUCUACUGCUGCUCCAGCUGGGUUGUUACAGCCUCUGCCCAUUCCCUUGCAGAUUUGGGAUGAUGUUUCCAUGGACUUCAUCACGGGUCUUCCACCUUCACAUGGCUUCACUGUGAUAAUGGUAGUGGUUGAUAGGCUCUCCAAAUAUGGCCAUUUUGUACCCUUGAAAUCUGAUUUUACUAGCUUGAAAGUUGCAGAAGCUUUUCUACAUAUUGUAGUUAAGUUACAUGGAUUUCCCAAGAGUAUUGUGUCGGAUCGUGAUAAGGUGUUCACCAGCUCUUUCUGGCAAAAUUUGUUUAAGCUAAGUGGCACCACUUUAUCUAUGAGCUCAGCGUAUCACCCCCAAUCCGACGGACAAACAGAAGCUGUCAAUAAAUGUGUUGAGAUGUAUUUACGGUGCUUUGCAGGUCAAGCUCCUAACAAAUGGUCUAAGUUACUUGAUUGGGCUGAAUUUUGGUACAAUUCAUCGUACCAGUGCAGUAUUGGAAUGACUCCAUUCAAGGUUGUGUAUGGCAGAGAUCCUCCUAUCCUUAUCAAAUAUGAUACUGCUGCAGAUGUUACUCCAUCACUGCAAUCUCUACUGGUGGAAAGAGAUGAGACCUUGCAGCUCCUUAAGGUCAAUUUACACCGCGCUCAACAAAUCAUGAAGAAGUAUGCUGAUUCUAAACGAAGAUUUGCUGAAUUUCAAGUGGGUGAUAUGGUCUUAGUUAAGCUUCAACCGUAUCGUCAACAUUCUCUUGCGCUUCACCAGAAUCAGAAACUAGGCCUUAGAUAUUUUGGACCCUUUCCUGUUAUUCAGAGAAUUGGGUUGGUGGCUUACAAAUUGCUCCUGCCUCCAUCUGCUAAGAUUCAUCUAGUUUUCCACAUUGUGAAUUUGAAACCUUGCAAGGGGGAUCAUACAAUGCAGUACCUACCACUACCCUUAACAACCACUGAAACUGGACCAGUAUUACAGCCUGAAGAUAUUUUACAAUCAAGAACAUUAUUGGUGAAUGGAAAACAGGUUCCACAGGUCUUGAUUAAGUGGUCUACCUUACCAGCAUCUGAAGCAACUUGGGAAAAUUGGGAGGAUAUCUCUAACAAUUACCCUAACGCUAACCUUGAGGUCAAGGUUAAUUUUAAAGGGGGAGGUAAUGUUAUGGAUAAGACCAAGGAAAUUACUGCAGUAACUAAUGCAGAAGGAGAGGAAGGACAGAUGUCACGUAAUCCACAGAUCCAGGGACCAAGACGUGGAAUGAGGCAUAUGAUUCCUAACAGAAAGUUCAAUGAGGACUCUGUUAAAUAGGACAAUCAUUAGCAUUGUUAAGGGGGAAUAAUAUUUGGUAGAAUUAUGGCUCUCUCUCUCUUAAAGCUUUAUGCUUUUCUGCACUAUCAUUUCAUUCCCUGUACCUUUCUUCAAUUGGUUUUAACCAUUUUUCCAUCAAUAAUAUUUAGAUUAUUAUCAUUUUACUGUC
rnacentral:lncRNA from 1 species